CGCCUCCUGAUUCUCCCAUAGGAGGUCCAACCUGCCCAGUGAAUUCUUCAACGGCCGCGGUACCCUGACCGUGCUAAGGUAGCGUAAUCACUUGCCCUUUAAUUGGGGGCUGGUAUGAAAGGUCAAACGAGGGUGAAACUGUCUCACCCAAGCCCAUUAAAAAUUGUCCUCCAUGUGAAGAGACUUGACUACUAUAGAAAGACGAGAAGACCCUGUCAAGCUUUACACCUUAUAUGACCCCUAACCCCGCCAUCAUAAAAAGUGUUUUGUUGGGGCAACACAGGAACACACUCUUCCUCACAACCACUCUUCAAUAAAUCAAACAAUCCGGCACCGCCGAAUAAAAACCAAGCUACUGCAGGGAUAACAGGCUAAUCUGCUUCGAGAGCCCACAUUGACAAGCAGGCUUGGCACCUCGAUGUUGGCUUAGGGACCCUCGCUGGGGCAGCCCCCGGCGAAAGGAGGUUUGUUCAAACCUAUAACCCCCUA
rnacentral:rRNA from 1 species